rnacentral:rRNA from 1 species
ACUACGGGUGGCAGCAGUGAGGCAUAUUGGUCAAUGGGCGGAAGCCUGAACCAGCCAAGUAGCGUGCAGGAUGACGGCCCUACGGGUUGUAAACUGCUUUUAUACGGGAAUAACGCGCCUUACGUGUAGGGCUUUGCAUGUACCGUAUGAAUAAGGACCGGCUAAUUCCGUGCCAGCAGCCGCGGUAAUACGGAAGGUCCGGGCGUUAUCCGGUUUUAUUGGGUUUAAAGGGAGUGUAGGCCGCAUGUCCAGCGUGCUGUGAAAUUUCCGGGCUCAACCCGGGCCUUGCAGCGCGAACCGGCGAGCUUGAGUCCGCGGAAAGCAGGCGGAAUUCGUGGUGUAGCGGUGAAAUGCUUAGAUAUGACGAAGAACCCCGAUUGCGAAGGCAGCUUGCUGCAGCGGAACUGACGCUGAUGCUCGAAAGCGCGGGUAUCGAACAGGAUUAGAUACCCCUGUAGUC